UGUAGUCUGAAUGUGGUGACCACUUUCCCCAUCAGAUCGGCCAUGUUGAUUGGUUUGUAGCCAGUGUUGUCUGAUAACUGCA